rnacentral:rRNA from 1 species
GACGAACGCUGGCGGCGUGCUUAACACAUGCAAGUCGAACGGAAAGGCCCUGCUUGCAGGGUACUCGAGUGGCGAACGGGUGAGUAACACGUGGGUGAUCUGCCCUGCACUUCGGGAUAAGCCUGGGAAACUGGGUCUAAUACCGGAUAGGAGCCAUUUUUAGUGUGAUGGUUGUAAAGUUUUUUCGGUGUAGGAUGAGCUGGCGGCCUAUCAGCUUGUUGGUGGGGUAAUGGCCUACCAAGGCGGCGACGGGUAGCCGGCCUGAGAGGGUGGACGGCCACAUUGGGACUGAGAUACGGCCGAGACUCCUACGGGAGGAAGCAGUGGGGAAUAUUGCACAAUGGGCGCAAGCCUGAUGAAGCGACGCCGCGUGGGGGAUGACGGCCUUCGGGUUGUAAACUCCUUUAGAUAGGGACGAAGCUUUUUGUGACGGUACCUAGAUAAGAAGCACCGGCUAACUACGUG